UACGGGGGGAGCAAGCGUUGUUCGGAUUUACUGGGCGUAAAGGGCGCGUAGGCGGCCAGCACAAGUCAGCUGUGAAAUCUCCGAGCUUAACUCGGAAAGGUCAACUGAUACUGUGCGGCUAGAGUGCGGAAGGGGCAACUGGAAUUCUUGGUGUAGCGGUGAAAUGCGUAGAUAUCAAGAGGAACACCUGCAGCGAAGGCGGGUUGCUGGGCCGACACUGACGCUGAGGCGCGAAAGCCAGGGGAGCGAACGGG
rnacentral:rRNA from 1 species